rnacentral:rRNA from 1 species
GACGAACGCUGGCGGCGUGCCUAAUACAUGCAAGUUGAGCGAUGAAGAUUGGUGCUUGCACCAAUUUGAAGAGCAGCGAACGGGUGAGUAACGCGUGGGGAAUCUGCCUUUGAGCGGGGGACAACAUUUGGAAACGAAUGCUAAUACCGCAUAACAACUUUAAACAUAAGUUUUAAGUUUGAAAGAUGCAAUUGCAUCAGUCAAAGAUGAUCCCGCGUUGUAUUAGCUAGUUGGUGAGGUAAAGGCUCACCAAGGCGAUGAUACAUAGCCGACCUGAGAGGGUGAUCGGCCACAUUGGGACUGGGACACGGCCCAAACUCCUACGGGAGGCAGCAGUAGGGAAUCUUCGGCAAUGGACGAAAGUCUGACCGAGCAACGCCGCGUGAGUGAAGAAGGUUUUCGGAUCGUAAAACUCUGUUGGUAGAGAAGAACGUUGGUGAGAGUGGAAAGCUCAUCAAGUGACGGUAACUACCCAGAAAGGGACGGCUAACUACGUG